CAGCAUGGCUUUUUGCCAAGCGGUGCCAUGUCCGCACCCAGGAUCCAAACCAGCAAACCCCAGGCCACUGAGAAAUGGAACUUGCAAACUUAACCAGUGUGCCACCAGGCCGGCCCCUGCUCACCUUUAAGGGCCAACAAGGGUGCCUCCCACCCCAAGAAGUCUCCUUGUCUCCCAAGCCAGAAGUGAUACCAAACCUCUUUAUCUCAAAUUCCUGUGCCAAUGUGCAGUAAGCCAAUUACUAAGACAUCUGCUUGGAGAUGGAGAAAGGUUUAUUCAAAUUGGCCAAAAUGAGAAGGCGGGAGGAUGGGUUCUCUCAAAUCCACCUUAACAAAAGAAGAGAGCAGGAGCUUUUAUAGAGAUGAUCUGGAAGCUACCAACUGGAAUAUAUCAAAAAUCCAUUCCUGGUGUCUCUACAUUGCUCCUGGAGACAGGAGCUCAGUGAUGAUGCUCAGACUCUGGAAUCCAUCCAGCCUGUGUUUUAACCGGUGUGCCAAUCCCAGCAUGCUAACAGUGUGAACUGGGGCAAGUGAGGUACCUGGCAAGCCUCUUCAGAUCUCUCCAGAGUACACGACAGAUACAGGCCGUAACUAUAUCCCCUGUAAUAGCCAGCACAUUGCCUGGUGCACUUGGGCAUUCACUAAGUGUGUGUUGAAAAAAAUAAAUGAAUGAUCACGAAUGCAGCA